GCUCGAUUGCUUGUUAAAUCCAGGGAAUUCUAUGCUAUUCGUUAUGUUUCGUGCUCUCAUUAUAACUCAUUGUUGAUGGUUAGAAAGCAUAUCUUGAGUCAUGGCUGUAUCUUUCAGGAGAACAGCUAAAUAUUUUGCUUGUAGAGCUGAUAUACACAUGCACCUUGGUCAAAAAAUAUGUUGCAUCAGCGCAUGUAUGGAAAGCUGCAUGAGCUAGUGAGAAUAAAGAAGCCAUCUUAUUGCUUCUGCCCAAGAUGGAGGCCCAACCAUUUUCACGCCCACUUUGUGUCUCCCAGU
rnacentral:misc_RNA from 1 species